GACGUAGGGCGCGAGCGUUGUCCGGAUUUAUUGGGCGUAAAGAGCUCGUAGGCGGCUUGUCGCGUCGGCUGUGAAAACCCGCGGCUCAACUGUGGGCGGGCAGCUGAUACGGGCAGGCUGGAGUUCGGUAGGGGAGAGUGGAAUUCCCGGUGUAGCGGUGAAAUGCGCAGAUAUCGGGAAGAACACCCGUGGCGAAGGCGGCUCUCUGGGACGGUACUGACGCUGAGACGCGAAAGCGUGGGGAGCGAACAGG
rnacentral:rRNA from 1 species